GUCCAGUGGUGCUGUGGGUCAGUACAUCUGACUGUUAACCAGAUGGUUGGAGGUUCAAGCCCACCCAGGGAUG